CCUACGGGUGGCAGCAGUGAGGAAUAUUGGUCAAUGGCCGGAAGACUGAACCAGCCAAGCCGCGUGAAGGACGAAGGUGCAGAGCAUCGUAAACUUCUUUUGUCAGGGGACAAAAACAGGGACGCGUGCCUGGCCGAGGGUACCUGAAGAAAAAGCAUCGGCUAACUCCGUGCCAGCAGCCGCGGUAAUACGGAGGAUGCGAGCGUUAUCCGGAUUUAUUGGGUUAAAAGGGUGCGCAGGCGGGCUGUUAAGUCAGCGGUAAAAGCCCGGGGCUCAACCCCGGCCAGCCGUUGAAACUGGCGGUCUUGAGAUGUCGAGAGGUAUGCGGAAUGCGCAGUGUAGCGGUGAAAUGCUUAGAUAUUGCGCAGAACUCCGAUUGCGAAGGCAGCAUGCCGGCGGCGAUCUGACGCUGAGGCACGAAAGCGUGGGUAUCGAACAGGAUUAGAUACCCCUGUAGUC
rnacentral:rRNA from 1 species